UGGGGGAUAUUGCGCAAUGGGGGAAACCCUGACGCAGCAACGCCGCGUGAAGGAUGAAGGUUUUCGGAUCGUAAACUUCUUUAAGUGGGGAAGAAUAAAUGACGGUACCCACAGAAUAAGCCACGGCUAACUACGUGCCAGCAGCCGCGGUAAUACGUAGGUGGCAAGCGUUGUCCGGAUUUACUGGGUGUAAAGGGCGUGUAGGCGGGAUCGUCAGUCAGAUGUGAAAUUUCGGGGCUCAACCCCGAACCUGCAUUUGAAACUACGAUUCUUGAGUGUCGGAGAGGUAAGUGGAAUUCCUAGUGUAGCGGUGAAAUGCGUAGAUAUUAGGAGGAACACCAGUGGCGAAGGCGACUUACUGGACGAUAACUGACGCUGAGGCGCGAAAGCGUGGGGAGCAAACA
rnacentral:rRNA from 1 species